ACACUCCUACGGGAGGCAGCAGUGGGGAAUAUUGGACAAUGGGCGCAAGCCUGAUCCAGCCAUGCCGCGUGAGUGAUGAAGGCCCUAGGGUUGUAAAGCUCUUUCACCGGUGAAGAUAAUGACGGUAACCGGAGAAGAAGCCCCGGCUAACUUCGUGCCAGCAGCCGCGGUAAUACGAAGGGGGCUAGCGUUGUUCGGAUUUACUGGGCGUAAAGCGCACGUAGGCGGACUAUUAAGUCAGGGGUGAAAUCCCGGGGCUCAACCCCGGAACUGCCUUUGAUACUGGUAGUCUUUAGUUCGAGAGAGGUGAGAGGAAUUCCGAGUGUAGAGGGGAAAUUCGUAGAUAUUCGGAGGAACACCAGUGGCGAAGGCGGCUCACUGGCUCGAUACUGACGCUGAGGUGCGAAAGCGUGGGGAGCAAACAGGGUUAGAUACCCCAGUAGUCCCAUGA
rnacentral:rRNA from 1 species